GCAUCGUUAUCAAGUGAGCUCAAACAACAGCAUUAGACAAGCAGCACUCAAUUAGAAAUAAAGAGAAUUAUAUGCAACUCAAUACACAUUGUAGAUGCCCAAAAAGAGUGAUAAAUGGUUUCAGACAUCCAAGGAAGGAUAAAGCAGCACAAGCUCUCAAGCCUGGCGAAGGCGAAAGCUCUUAGGCGGCCACUGCGAAUGUUUUGAGAA
rnacentral:misc_RNA from 1 species